rnacentral:rRNA from 1 species
AACGCUAGCUACAGGCUUAACACAUGCAAGUCGAGGGGCAGCAUUGGGGUAGCAAUACUUCAGAUGGCGACCGGCGCACGGGUGAGUAACACGUAUCCAACCUGCCGCUUACUCGGGGAUAGCCUUUCGAAAGAAAGAUUAAUACCCGAUGGUAUAAAGAGUUCGCAUGUUCUCUUUAUUAAAGAAUUUCGGUAAGCGAUGGGGAUGCGUUCCAUUAGAUUGUUGGCGGGGUAACGGCCCACCAAGUCUACGAUGGAUAGGGGUUCUGAGAGGAAGGUCCCCCACAUUGGAACUGAGACACGGUCCAAACUCCUACGGGAGGCAGCAGUGAGGAAUAUUGGUCAAUGGACGAGAGUCUGAACCAGCCAAGUAGCGUGAAGGAUGACUGCCCUAUGGGUUGUAAACUUCUUCUAUAAGGGAAUAAAGUGAGGGACGUGUCCCUUUUUGUAUGUACCUUAUGAAUAAGGAUCGGCUAACUCCGUGCCAGCAGCCGCGGUAAUACGGAGGAUCCAAGCGUUAUCCGGAUUUAUUGGGUUUAAAGGGAGCGUAGGUUGACAUAUAAGUCAGCUGUGAAAGUUUACGGCUCAACCGUGAAAUUGCAGUUGAUACUGUAUGUCUUGAGUGUACAAGAGGUGGGCGGAAUUCGUGGUGUAGCGGUGAAAUGCUUAGAUAUCACGAAGAACUCCGAUUG